CUGGACCGGCUGGUGGCGCCAGGCAGUGCCAAGCACCCCUGGCAGCCCUGCAGAGGGUUCUCAAAUCCAGAUUUCAUUCUGCAGUCCCGGCAGUGUUUUGACGACUGCCUCACUAAAGGAAGCUAAAAGCUGUGCUGAUGCCUCCCAGACGAGCCUCGUUGGAAGCACAGAACCUUCACGGCUCGGAGCCGCUGACACCGUGACAAAGGGAGCCCUGCUCAGGAGAAAGAGCAAAUGAGAGGCAGUUGCACUUUUUCAGGUGUCAGGCUGGAGGAAGCCACUUGAAGAUGAAUCUACCUCUGCCUUAGGAUUGCCUGAUGGCCUGUGCCAUUCCAUGUUAUAUCUACUGAUUUGCUCCCUGUAUUCAAAGAUUUUUUUUUUUUACUUAAUUCUCUCUUACUGACCCUGAGAGUGACCAUAUUUUUAACCAAUUUGGUCUUCAGCCUCAAAACUUAGCUCUUUCCUUUUGUGGUCCCCGAAUCCUAUCACGUGUCAUGGUGGCUGUGAAGAUGUUUGCCAAGCCUGCUGAGAAGGCUCAUCUGUGGCAUCCAAAAGCAGAGAUUUCAACUCUGGACCCCUGUGACCUGCCUUUGUAAUUAUGGAUACCCAGCACUGUUUUGAAAUAUCAGUGGACAUCCAGUUUUUAAAAGCCCUCAGAGCUUUGGGAGACACCCCUUUAUCUCUCUGGCAUGUCAGAGAACCGAUUCAACCCUUCUCAUCUCCUCCUCCUUCCCUCUCUUGGGCCAUCAGGAUGCGGCAGCAACUCACUGUGCAUGUUUUUACAGCUCUUCUCCAGUAAUGCUGCCAUUUCCACUGCAGACCACAGGAUAAAAGGACCGCUUCACCGUGGCCCAGGAUACCCUUUUAAGUAGGAGGUUGCAUGGGCUUGAUCCACAAUGACUCAGCUUUCAGCCAUCGCAAUUGUGCUAUGCUCAGCUGUCAAGUGUGUUUUAAAUCUCCUACUACAUUUUUUUUAAAGUUUUUCUGCCAUCCUUUGUACUCCUUUUUAAAAACUUAUCCAGGAAGUGGUAUGAAAUCUCCAGUACUUCUCGGCACACACAGAUGCGUCUUUUUCUGUUUAUUGUUUUCCCUCUGAGAGUUGUAGUGUUCAGUUGGUUACACCAAGAGAAGUACUUGGCUGGGACUGUUAAAAAAAGUGUCACAAAGCAGCACCAAGGAGAAAACAACACUGUUUUCUGAAUGUUCGUGCUUGGAAUUUCUUUACUACAGGGAAAAUGAGAUGGGGGAGGGCCCUUCUUAUCUAUUUUCAGACAGACAUCUCACAAAUGCAUAAAAAAUAUAAUCCUUUUAGUUCCACUGGCCUUGUAGUUGUUGUAAAUGCAUCUUAAAUUCCUAAAUGAUUUUUAAAUUACAUUAUGUCUUUCAGCGGUGUAGGCUUUGAUUUCUGAGGCUGUUAGCCAGAUAUAGGCUUUAACAAACACUCAUGUUCUUUUGUCUUUAUGUCUUUAUUUUAAAAUUAUAUAUAUACAUAUAUAUAUGUAUGUAUGUAUGUAUAAGUAUCCAGUGAGUAUAAGAAAAAUAUCAAAGAGAAGAAUUUUUCUCAUUCUGUCUUCAAAUAGGUAAUACUUCACAAAUUGAUGUAUGCUCAUGGACAAUAGCAGGUAAUGCUUUUGAAACUGAAAGAUUUGUCUCUGAGUUCCAACAAUUGUCUUAGCAGACAGAGUUUCAAGGUCAUCAAAUCUGUAUCCAUUGGUGGCAUAGAAGAUGUCAAUCACAUUGCCUUUGAAUCAGAACCUAUCAUUGUCAAUACAGAUAAACUGCAGGUUAACUCUCUCUCUGUCUCGCCCCUGGAAACUAGGCUUAAUGUUUUGCCAAAAAUUGGGUAUUUGCUCUUGACCCUAGAGCAAAGGCUCUCACUUCAACA
rnacentral:lncRNA from 1 species